rnacentral:rRNA from 1 species
UGAAUACGAGAUGCUACGGCGUCGAAGCAGUGUAUGUCAGACUUCCAAGAAAAGCUCGCAAUGUCAUAAAUAAAGAAUGCCUGUACCAUAACCGACACAGGUGGGUAGGUAGAGUAUACUAAGGGGCGCGAGAUAACUCUCUCUAAGGAACUCGGCAAAAUAACUCCGUAACUUCGGGAGAAGGAGUGCCUUCUUUAAGAAGGUUGCAAUAACAAGAUCCAAGCAACUGUUUAUCAAAAACACAGGUCUCCGCUAAGUCGUAAGACGAUGUAUGGGGGCUGACGCCUGCCCAGUGCCAGAAGGUUAAAGAAGUUGGUUAGCUUUUGCGAAGCUGAUGACUGAAGCCCUGGUGAACGGCGGCCGUAACAAUAACGGUCCUAAGGUAGCGAAAUUCCUUGUCGGGUAAGUUCCGACCCGCACGAAAGGCGUAAUGAUUUGGAUACUGUCUCGGAGAGGGACUCGGUGAAAUAGACUUGUCUGUGAAGAUGCGGACUACCUGCACCAGGACAGAAAGACCCUAUGAAGCUUUACUGUAACUUGAAAUUGAAAUUGGACUUUAUUUGCGCAGUAUAGGUGGAAGGCGUUGAAAGUAAUCUUGCGGGAUUAGUGGAGCCAUCAGUGAGAUACCACUCCUAUAAUGUUAGAUUUCUAACUUUGGAUCAUGAUCUGGUCAAAGAACAGUUUCAGGCGGGCAGUUUGACUGGGGCGGUCGCCUCCCAAAUGGUAACGGAGGCGCACAAAGGUUUCCUCUGAACGGGUAGAAAUCGUAUCUAGAGUGUAAAGGCAUAAGGAAGCUUGACUGUGAGACCUACAAGUCGAGCAGGGACGAAAGUCGGUCUUAGUGAUCUGACGGUGCUGAGUGGAAAGGCCGUCACUCAACGGAUAAAAGUUACUCUAGGAUAACAGGCUGAUCUCCCCCAAGAGUUCACAUCGACGGGGAGGUUUGGCACCUCGAUGUCGGCUCAUCGCAUCCUGGGGCGGUAGUACGUCCCAAGGGUUGGGCUGUUCGCCCAUGAAAGCGGUACGCGAGCUGGGUUCAGAACGUCGUGAGACAGUUCGGUCCAUAUCCGGUGUAGGCGUUAGAAUAUUGAGAGGAGCCUUCUUUAGUACGAGAGGACCGAGAAGGACAUACCUCUGGUGUACCAGUUAUCGUGCCAACGGUAAACGCUGGGUAGCUAUGUAUGGAGAGGAUAACCGCUGAAAGCAUCUAAGUGGGAAGCCCACCUCAAGAUGAG